rnacentral:misc_RNA from 1 species
GUGAAUCAUCAAAUUUUUGAACGCAUAUUGCACUAUCUGGUAUUCCGGAGAGUAUGCCUAUUUGAGGGUCAUUUGUAAUUAUAUAAUUUUCGAGAUUUUCUUGAAAUUAAAAAUGGGUCGGUCGAGCUUUCGUGUGAUGGUCGCCGCAAAUGCAAGACAAGCUCAUUUGUGGGGUUGCGUG